AUACGUAGGGAGCAAGCGUUGUCCGGAAUUACUGGGCGUAAAGGGUGCGUAGGUGGCCAUGUAAGUCAGGUGUGAAAGACCGGGGCUCAACCCCGGGGUUGCACUUGAAACUGUGUGGCUUGAGUACAGGAGAGGGAAGUGGAAUUCCUAGUGUAGCGGUGAAAUGCGUAGAUAUUAGGAGGAACACCAGUGGCGAAGGCGACUUUCUGGACUGUAACUGACACUGAGGCACGAAAGCGUGGGGAGCAAACAGGAUUAGAUACCCUGGUAGUCCACGCCGUAAACGAUGGAUACUAGGUGUGGGGGGCGAUAGUCCUCCGUGCCGAAGCAAACGCAUUAAGUAUCCCGCCUGGGGAGUACGAUCGCAAGGUUGAA
rnacentral:rRNA from 1 species